rnacentral:lncRNA from 1 species
UAUGGGUGUAGAGAUAUUGUUUUGUUGGUGAUAUCUUUUUUAUUGGUAGACCCUUUUGUGCGUAGAUUUAUGUUUAGGUUUUUUGUUUUUUUUAUGGUCAAAGAACUUUGUUAUGAAAAUAGGGUAUAGAUCCAAAGUGUAAAUUGAUUUAUUAAUGCUUUGUUUGCAGUUUGUACAUUUGGGAGGGACAUUUUGUUUUGAUUUGAUGUUCGACUGUUAGAUCGUUGAAGCAGAUUCCAUGAUGUUGAAAAAUUCCAAUUACAUGUAGGGCGAUACAACCAUCAACUUUAUUUUGAUGAUCAUAAUCUCAAUGAUAUUUUAGCCCUCAAAGUGAAUGAACAAGACCCAUAUGUUACAUCACCUUGA